GAGUUUGAUCCUGGCUCAGGACGAACGCUGGCGGCGCGCCUAACACAUGCAAGUCGAACGAGCGAGAGAGAGCUUGCUUUCUCAAGCGAGUGGCGAACGGGUGAGUAACGCGUGAGGAACCUGCCUCAAAGAGGGGGACAACAGUUGGAAACGACUGCUAAUACCGCAUAAGCCCACAGCUCGGCAUCGAGCAGAGGGAAAAGGAGCAAUCCGCUUUGAGAUGGCCUCGCGUCCGAUUAGCUAGUUGGUGAGGUAACGGCCCACCAAGGCGACGAUCGGUAGCCGGACUGAGAGGUUGAACGGCCACAUUGGGACUGAGACACGGCCCAGACUCCUACGGGAGGCAGCAGUGGGGAAUAUUGCACAAUGGGGGAAACCCUGAUGCAGCGACGCCGCGUGGAGGAAGAAGGUCUUCGGAUUGUAAACUCCUGUUGUUGAGGAAGAUAAUGACGGUACUCAACAAGGAAGUGACGGCUAACUACGUGCCAGCAGCCGCGGUAAAACGUAGGUCACAAGCGUUGUCCGGAAUUACUGGGUGUAAAGGGAGCGCAGGCGGGAAGACAAGUUGGAAGUGAAAUCUAUGGGCUCAACCCAUAAACUGCUUUCAAAACUGUUUUUCUUGAGUAGUGCAGAGGUAGGCGGAAUUCCCGGUGUAGCGGUGGAAUGCGUAGAUAUCGGGAGGAACACCAGUGGCGAAGGCGGCCUACUGGGCACCAACUGACGCUGAGGCUCGAAAGUGUGGGUAGCAAACAGGAUUAGAUACCCUGGUAGUCCACACCGUAAACGAUGAUUACUAGGUGUUGGAGGAUUGACCCCUUCAGUGCCGCAGUUAACACAAUAAGUAAUCCACCUGGGGAGUACGACCGCAAGGUUGAAACUCAAAGGAAUUGACGGGGGCCCGCACAAGCAGUGGAGUAUGUGGUUUAAUUCGACGCAACGCGAAGAACCUUACCAAGUCUUGACAUCCCUUGACGAACAUAGAAAUAUGUUUUCUCUUCGGAGCAAGGAGACAGGUGGUGCAUGGUUGUCGUCAGCUCGUGUCGUGAGAUGUUGGGUUAAGUCCCGCAACGAGCGCAACCCUUACUGUCAGUUACUACGCAAGAGGACUCUGGCAGGACUGCCGUUGACAAAACGGAGGAAGGUGGGGAUGACGUCAAAUCAUCAUGCCCUUUAUGACUUGGGCUACACACGUACUACAAUGGCGUUAAACAAAGAGAAGCAAGACCGCGAGGUGGAGCAAAACUCAGAAACAACGUCCCAGUUCGGACUGCAGGCUGCAACUCGCCUGCACGAAGUCGGAAUUGCUAGUAAUCGUGGAUCAGCAUGCCACGGUGAAUACGUUCCCGGGCCUUGUACACACCGCCCGUC
rnacentral:rRNA from 1 species